AGUGGCGGACGGGUGAGUAACGCGUGAGAAUCUGCCUUGGGGUCGGGGACAACCACUGGAAACGGUGGCUAAUACCGGAUAAGCCGAUUGGUGAAAGAUUUAUUGCCCGAAGAGGAGCUCGCGUCUGAUUAGCUAGUUGGUGAGGUAAGAGCUCACCAAUGCAGCGAUCAGUAGCUGGUCUGAGAGGACGAUCAGCCACACUGGGACUGAGACACGGCCCAGACUCCUACGGGAGGCAGCAGUGGGGAAUUUUCCGCAAUGGGCGAAAGCCUGACGGAGCAAGACCGCGUGAGGGCAAGGCUCUUGGGUUGUAAACCUCUUUUCUCAGGGAAGAAGCUCUGACGGUACCUGAGGAAUCAGCCUCGGCUAACUCCGUGCCAGCAGCCGCGGUAAUACGGAGGAGGCAAGCGUUAUCCGGAAUUAUUGGGCGUAAAGCGUCCGCAGGUGGCGAUUCAAGUCUGCUGUCAAAGCACGGGGCUUAACUCCGUAAAGGCAGUGGAAACUGAAUAGCUAGAGUGCCGUAGGGGUAGAGGGAAUUCCCGGUGUAGCGGUGAAAUGCGUAGAGAUCGGGAAGAACAUCGGUGGCGAAAGCGCUCUACUGGACGGCAACUGACACUCAGGGACGAAAGCUAGGGGAGCGAAUGGGAUUAGAUACCCC
rnacentral:rRNA from 1 species